UGCACAGGGACACAUUUAACCACAUGUGUUUAAGUGUGCGACUACAACUGGGAAUUAGACAAGAGAAAAAUAGACAAAGCCAUGAAGGACCCAGUUGGUGGGCGGAUGCUGGAAGCAGAGGGAGUUUUCCCAGCAGGGGAACAUUCAAGCUGUUCAAUAUUCUUCUCACUUAGAGAGAGAGACUGGCCUGGCUUCCACCCUCUAGAAAGCUUUCCCUGGAGAGAAGCUUUGAGACUGGAAGUGAUGGUGGAGGAGGAUUUGUCUGGAAAUGACCUGACUGUUCAACAGCUGUCCUGAGGAGAACAGUGCGGGGAUGUGCUCACCAGCUUCCAGAGUCAACUCCUUCGACUUCCCUCAGGAAUAUCUUACAUGGCACCCUGAACCAUCCGGAAUACUGAUUGAUUGAUUAUCUCGGUACUGUGACAUCACCAAGUUGACACAUAAAGUUAACCUAAUUAAAAGGACUACUUCAUGAUUCAGAAAGAGUGGGCAGAUACAGUCGUUGAGACCCUCUUCUGUCAGAGCACUGUUCUUUUUUUUUUUUUUUUUUUUUUUUUUUUGGUUCUU
rnacentral:sRNA from 1 species